rnacentral:piRNA from 1 species
UCAUACAUAUCUGAAGGCGCUGUUUAUGAA